AGUGAACGCUGGCGGUAUGCCUAACACAUGCAAGUCGAACGGCAGCACAGUAAUAGCUUGCUCUUACGGGUGGCGAGUGGCGGACGGGUGAUGAAUACAUCGGAAUCUACUUUUUCGUGGGGGUUAACGAAUGGAAACUUACGCGAAUACCGCCUACGACCUACGGGUGAAAGCAGGGGAUCUUCGUACCUUUCGCGAUUGAUUGCGCCGAUGUCGGAUUAGCUAGUUGGCGGGGUAAAGGCCCACCAAGGCGACGAUCCGUAGCUGGUGUGAGAGGAGGAUAAGCGACACUGGAAGGGGGACACGGACAAGACGACUGAGGGAGGCAGCAGUGGGGAAUAUUGGACAAUGGGGGCAAGCAUGAUCCAGUCAUAGCGAGUGGGUGAAGACGGCGUUGGGGUUGUAAAGACGGUUUGUUGGGAAAGAAAAGCAGCAGGUUAAUACGAAGCUGUUCUGACGGUACCCACAGAAUAAGCACCGGCUAACUUCGUG
rnacentral:rRNA from 1 species